GGCCUAACACAUGCAAGUCGAGCGGUAACAUUUCUAGCUUGCUAGAAGAUGACGAGCGGCGGACGGGUGAGUAACGCGUAGAAAUCUACCUAGUAGUGGGGGAUAGCCCAGAGAAAUUUGGAUUAAUACCGCAUACGCCCUACGGGGGAAAGCGGGGGAUCUUCGGACCUCGUGCUAUUAGAUGAGUCUGCGUCGGAUUAGCUUGUUGGUGAGGUAAUGGCUCACCAAGGCGACGAUCCGUAGCUGGUCUGAGAGGAUGACCAGCCACACUGGAACUGAGACACGGUCCAGACUCCUACGGGAGGCAGCAGUGGGGAAUAUUGCACAAUGGGCGCAAGCCUGAUGCAGCCAUGCCGCGUGUGUGAAGAAGGCCUUAGGGUUGUAAAGCACUUUCAGCAGUGAGGAAAGGGGUGUCGUUAAUAGCGCCAUCCUGUGACGUUAACUGCAGAAGAAGGACCGGCUAACUCCGUG
rnacentral:rRNA from 1 species